rnacentral:rRNA from 1 species
AGAGGGAUAAGCUCAAAUUUAAAAUCUGGCAGCUUCGCUGUCCGAGUUGUAAUUUAGAGAAGUGUUACCCGUGCUGGACCGUGUAUAAGUCUCCUGGAAUGGAGCGUCAUAGAGGGUGAGAAUCCCGUCUUUGACACGGACUACCAGUGCAUUGUGGUGCGCUCUCGAAGAGUCGAGUUGUUUGGGAAUGCAGCUCUAAAUGGGUGGUAAAUUCCAUCUAAAGCUAAAUAUUGGCGAGAGACCGAUAGCGAACAAGUACCGUGAGGGAAAGAUGAAAAGAACUUUGGAAAGAGAGUUAAACAGUACGUGAAAUUGCUGAAAGGGAAACGCUUGAAGUCAGUCGCGUUGGCCGGGGAUCAGCCUUGCUUUUGUGAGGUGUACUUCCUGGUUGACGGGUCAGCAUCAGUUUCGAUCACUGGAAAAAGGCUUGGGGAAUGUGGCACCUUCGGGUGUGUUAUAGCCUCUUGUUGUAUACAGUGGUUGGGACUGAGGAACUCAGCACGCCGCAAGGCCGGGUUUCGACCACGUUCGUGCUUAGGAUGCUGGCAAAAUGGCUUUAAGCGACCCGUCUUGAAACACGGACCAAGGAGUCUAACAUGCUUGCGAGUGUUUGGGUGGAAAACCCGAGCGCGUAAUGAAAGUGAAAGUUGGGAUCUCUGUCGUGGAGAGCACCGACGCCCGGACCUGAUGUUUACUGACGGAUCUGCGGUAGAGCACGUAUGUUGGGACCCGAAAGAUGGUGAACUAUGCCUGAAUAGGGCGAAGCCAGAGGAAACUCUGGUGGAGGCUCGUAGCGAUUCUGACGUGCAA